GUUCCCACCAGGUUACUGUUCCCACCAGGUUACUGUUCCCACCAGGUUACUGUUCCCUCCAGGUUACUGUUCCCACCAGGUUACUGUUCCCACCAGGUUACUGUUCCCACCAGGUCCCACCAGGUUACUGUUCCCACUAGGUUACUGUUCCCACCAGGUUACUGUUCCCACCAGGUUACUGUUCCCUCCAGGUUACUGUUCCCUCCAGGUUACUGUUCCCUCCAGGUUACUGUUCCCUCCAGGUUACUGUUCCCUCCAGGUUACUGUUCCCACCAGGUUACUGUUCCCACCAGGUUACUGUUCCCUCCAGGUUACUGUUCCCACCAGGUUACUGUUCCCACCAGGUUACUGUUCCCACCAGGUUACUGUUCCCACCAGGUUACUGUUCCCGCCAGGUCCCACCAGGUUACUGUUCCCACCAGGUUACUGUUCCCACCAGGUUACUGUUCCCACCAGGUUACUGUUCCCACCAGGUUACUUUUCCCACCAGGUUACUGUUCCCA